UUUGAAACUGGAGCCAUCAAAGCUAUUGUUAGUAUCUGUUCCCUUGUUCUUGGAAAAAGCCACUUCUAAGGGGAUGUUGAAUUUUGGCAGAGGCUUGCAGGAGUUGAGUGGUCUCUUGCCUCGUCUUCUCUCCACUCAUUCAGACUAUGGACCUCUUUGUGGACUCAUAUCUCUUAUCUUCUGAUGAGGCAAUGAUCAGGACAUGGCAAAAUGAUAGAAAGGUACUGUUGACCAUUUAAAGUUACUGUCUAUUUUUUUUUAAACUUCUGGAAAACUUCGAUUUCUAAAGGUCUCUCUCAGAGUCCAGAUUAUCUGCUGAAGACAUCUGUCUUAAUUCUGUGUUCCAAAUGGCCCUCCCUCAUCUGGCUUUGCAUGUUACUGCUUGUUAUAGAAAUGUGACCUCCACAACUGAUAUGAAGCUGUCUAAACCCCUGUGGAAAUCUUCGUCUGUGCUGUGUGGCCUUCCUGGCUUUCAUCUCCUCCUCACACACUGACUCACAGCCACACUCCAUAAGAUACCUUAAACCUUUGAAGGACAGCGGUGUGUGAGAUCAGGGUCAGUGUUUUGGUGUUAGACAGAGUCAAGCUCACUUUGCUCCUUCUGACGGUGCAAGACGUUGUGAAUCCGUCCGUCUUUGUUCUAAUGCUGCAAAGCUGUGAGUUACUUUGGAGACAAAGGGGACUACAGCACAGCAGAUCUCAAUGCUCGUAGGUGGCCAUCAGUGGGUUUCACUCCUCAUCCAGCCCUUUCUGUGAUGAAGAAUGAAAAGAGAAUAGACAAAGACACGGAUUAUUCACAGAAGACAAACAAGGUCUCAAUAAGUAAAAAAAGUGGUUUAAUAGAAUAAACCACAACUACAUUUUGGAACUUGAAUUUGUAGAAUUGUAAAAAAAAUUAAAACAGUGUGGGACUAAAUGCAUUUGGAGAAAAGCUAAGAUUAUAUCAUGCAUAAAAAAUUUAUAUGAAAGCUGAAUAGCCAAGCAAAUGUUUAGUGUUUCAAGUCAAAGACAUUUGUUUUUGUUUGUUUGUUUAAUUUGUGAAUGAAAGAGAUGAUUAUAUGUCUGCAUUUUGUUUAAAAAGAGAUUCAUCUUUUAAAUAGAAUCUUGACAAAAAUGCAGCUGUGUGUCCAUGAGAGCUAUUGAUAGCCAAUAAUCAUUUUAGACUCUUGUGGACAGUUCCAAAGGGGGACAUACUGUAUAUUAACGAAAUCAAGAUCAUCGAUCAUUCAAAGCUUUGUAUGAUAUCUUUAUUUGGAACUAUUAUUUUGAUAACAUUGAUAUGAUUAGAUAAAUAUGCUGUUACUGCAUUAACAACAAAAUCUGUCGGAUGAAAUUAGUGAAAAUUGAAGGGGUCCUUGUGUCAUUGGGCUAGGGGUCCCCAUGAAUAACUCAAGGACACUUUCUUUGCAUUCAUUUCUCUCUUGGAUCUUAGUCAGGUCACUAACAAAACACAAAAGUUAUCAUGAUGCCUCCCCUGUGACAAAAGAAUAUAGCCCCGCUAGAAUAUAUACUAAAAAAAAUUCAUCCACACAACACCCAUAAUAAAAUCGAUUUGUACAAAGCCUGGUUGGAUUUAUUUACUCACAAUAAAAAAGAUGAAUAGUUCUAUCAUUGAUACAUUAUAAAAAAAACUGUACAUUGUAUUUUAAAGGAGGCAGGAUGGUUCUCUAUAUGUACAGUGUUGGAUAGAGGAGAAUAGAGGAGCUGCUUACCUUUGA